UACGUAGGGUGCAGGCGUUAAUCGGAAUUACUGGGCGUAAAGCGUGCGCAGGCGGUUUGCUAAGACAGGUGUGAAAUCCCCCGGGCUUAACCUGGGACUGCAUUUGUGACUGCAUCGCUGGAGUGCGGCAGGAGGGGGAUGGAAUUCCGGCGUGUAGCAGUGAAAUGCGUAGAUAUGCGGAGGAACACCGAUGGCGAAGGCAGGUCUCUGGGCUGACACUGACGCUCAUGCACGAAAGCGUGGGGAGCAAACAGG
rnacentral:rRNA from 1 species